UUUCAUAAAUCAAAAUAAAAAAUCAACUCCAAUAGACGAAAUCAUAAUUCAAUAAUCCUAACUUCAAAAUCAAAAUCAUAAAAUUGAGCUCGCGGUGGAAGGCGGCGCAGUGGGAGGCGCGAAGCGGUGGAAGGCGGAAGGCGGCGCAGAUCUGAGCAGAUCCCUAACUUAUUUGAGCAGAUCUGCCCGCGGUGGAAGGCGGCGCAGGAGGAGGCGCGAAGCGGCGGUGGCGUUGGAGUCGGUGAAGACGGAAGCGCGAGGCGGCGCGAUUUGCGUUAGCGGCGGAGACGCGGGCGGAGCAGGAGGUGUUGGAGGCGGUGAAGAUGGAAGCGCGAGGCGGCGCGAUUUGCGUUGGCGGCGGAGACGCGAGGCGGAGCAGGAGGUGUUGGAGGCGGUGAAGAUGGAAGCGCGAGGCGGCGCGAUUUGCGUUGGCGGCGGAGACGCGAGGCGGAGCAGGAGGUGUUGGAGGCGGUGGAAGGUGGAGGGGUGAGAGGAACGGUGGCGAGGAGGUGUUGGAGCCCGGCGCAGUGGUGGCGG
rnacentral:lncRNA from 1 species